rnacentral:misc_RNA from 1 species
AGUUAUGCUGUUUCCUAUUUGGAAGCCAAAAUGUCAAGUUUCUAUUGAAGAUGAACAUGUAUGCUGACAUAUUUAUGCUCAAUGUAGAUGUUUAUCUUGCUGGGACUGUUAUGCUAAUCUUCGGCAUGGGUUUGUACUGAUUAUUUAUCAUCAAUGUGCUUCCUGACGUUCCUUCCCAUGUCGAUCGUGCCCUCAAAGGCUCUUCCUUACUUGGAUUGUUUGCUUUGAAGGAGAGGCCAAAAUGGAUGAAGAUCAGCUCACUU